AGUGGCCUUCCGUCAGUCAGGGCCCAUGCAGGUCAGGCUGGACACCCUGGGGAGGGUACCGAUGUACCUGAGUCUCCUGCCAUGGGACAGAAGGGAUAUUCUGUGAUCACUGAGACCAUAGGGCAGCCCAGCAGGGUCUGCACAGUCUACUUGAAGGUUAAUGGCCAAUGACUCCCUGGUACCAUCUGCAGUGAACUGUGAAAGAGCAAACUCAGCCUUGACCACCUGACAGCCUCACUGUCACUCAGAGCGACCAUGGGGGCCCCAGGCACACUCUCGCUGUUAAGAAGCCCUGUCCAAGAACCUUGCCACAUACAUCCCCUGUCAAGAAGUGGAGUCUGGGGCUUCCCUGGUGGUGCAGUGGUUAAGAAUCCA